rnacentral:rRNA from 1 species
GACGAACGCUGGCGGCGUGCUUAACACAUGCAAGUCGAGCGGAGCGGCGAACGGGUGCGUAACUCGUGAGUAACUGCCCCCCUCUCUGUGAUCACAGUUGGCAACGGCUGCUAAUACCGGAUAGUGGGGGAUGACUCGCGUCCUAUCAGCUUGUUGGAGGGGUAGUGGCCGACCAAGGCGACGACGGGUCGCCGGCCUGAGAGGGCGACCGGCCACAUUGGUCGGAGAGACGGCCCAAACCAGUACGGGAGGCAACCGUGGGGAAUAGUGCACAAUGGGGGAAACCCUGAUGCAGCAACGCCGCGGGCGGGAUGACGGCCUGCGGGUUGUAAACCGCUUUAAGCCAUGACGCGGUAGUGGCAGAAGAAGCACCGGCUAACUACGUGCCAGCCGCCGCGGUAAUUC